CUGAAGUUAAUGAACUGAUAAGGAGCUCCUAUUGUGAAACAUUCUGAGUAUAGCUCAGCAGAAAACAUUGCUUUUCAAUGUAGAAAUACCGAGUUCAAUGGAAAAUUUGGAGCUGAAAUGAAGCAUACCUAAAGCAGAAUGUCGCUCACUUAGAGAUUCCUCAUCAGCUGUCAUUGGAGGUUCUUGUCUUUUCCAGUGGCUAUGGUGAACAUAUGCUGAUGAAGCCUAAAAGCAAGCUGGAGGAAAGAAAGCAAGAUUUGUAUGGAAAAUACAGGAAUGAACUAGCUGUAGCAGUCAAGAGCCUGAGCUUUUCUAGGCCUGCAGAUCUUCAUGAAACUGUGGAUAUUCUUGGCAGGCAAACUGAAAGGCCCUUUGGCUUUCUUUAAAUACCAGCUGCAGACCUUGCCUCUUGGAUUGAGGAACUUCAGUGAGUCAGAACAGUUAAAGGGCUGAGAGAAAAGCUGUCUUCAAUAAAAUGUUUACAGGUGACAGACUGCUUCAUUCCUUCAGGAACUCUACCACAGUCAAGCAUGAGAGGAGAGCACAACAGUGGAAAAUGGAAGUUGCUAACAAAGCCCAGUCCCUGUCAGCAGUGCCUUUCAGCAUGGCCCUUUCUUCUGGACACAGAGAUAGUGCCCCCUUGCAGCACUAAUGUGAAACAACAGACAAGUGAUCACAUGCUUUGUGGAGUUC